rnacentral:rRNA from 1 species
ACAUGCCUACAAUAUAGCCUUAAUGCACCAAAUUCCAUUAGAACUCUGUAGUUAAGCGCACUUGGGCUAGAGUAGUAUUGGGAUGGGUGACCACCCGGGAAUUCCUAGUGUUUUACAUGCC